CUGCCCCUGGAUCCCUGGCAGUGCCCAAGGCCAGGCUGGACAUUGGGGCUUGGGGCACCCUGGGACAGUGGAAGGUGUCCCUGCCAUGGCAGGGGUGAGAUGGGAUGGGCUUUGUGCUCCCUUCCUGCUCAAACCCUUCUGGGAUUCUAUCGAGCCUGAGUAGCCCCAGCUCUUACUGGGCUGGCUGCAGCCCAGCUGUGGGAUGAGCUGGGGGGAAGGCUGAGCUGUCCGAGGAGCUGGGUGUGCUCGGAGCAGCGCUGGCACUGCCUGCACAGCCGGCACCUGGAGCCUGGCUCUGCCCCAUCCCCAGCCUGGGCUGCUCCCGAGAGGCUCUGGCUGGCCCUGCCUGCCAGGUGGGUACCCCAACACCCCCAUGUUGCCCCCAGCGAUGGCUGAGGAGCUCAGUGAGCUGCUGAGAGAGUUCGACGAGGUCAUGGAGGACUUUGACCGGGGCCCUGCGAGUCAGUACCAGCAGCACCUGGAGGAGCUGAAGAGGAAAGCGGGACAGAGCGUGUAUGACAGUGGCAUCGAUGAGCUGGAGAGUGCCAGCACAUCCCCAGGAAGCAGCCUCAACUCCAGUGAGGAGCACCUCAACAGCCCAGCUGACACGUAUCCCACCAAAGCAAAGCUUGGAGACACGCAGGAGCUGGAGGAGUUCAUCGCAGACCUGGAUAAAGCCUUGGAAGAGAUGUGAGCUGUGCUGUGCAGUCUGGAGAGGAGCAGCCCCAGCCCUGAGUCUCCCUGAUGCUGCCUCUGCCCCCCUGGCUGGGGUGGGGAUGGCUCUGGGGACAGGGACGGGCGGUGGGGACGGAUCCGGCUGCUGGACGAUGGUGACAAGGCCCUGCCAGCGCCAGGAGGGGACAGCCCUGGGCGGGACCUGGCCCUGCCCUGCACGGGUCUGGUGGCUCCAAGGGCUCUGGGGGGGAGCUGGGCUGCUGCUGAAGCCCCCAGAGGAAUUUUGGGGAAGAUCAGCUUGCAGGACAUCAGCGUGACAUCAGUGUCCCCUCCAGGCUGGGAAGCCUGGUUUCUUGGUGGCAUCUGUCACUGCUGACCUUUGCUUUGCAUGGGGAGCCCCAAAUUGGACUCCUCUCUGCUCCCCAAGUACCUUUGCCCCAGCUGCUGCUGUAAAUACUGUAAAAAUAUGUUUUGUGCUGUACAAAUGGUUCUGUGAACAGGAUUUUAAACCUCUGC
rnacentral:lncRNA from 1 species